rnacentral:tRNA from 1 species
GGGCAUGUAGCUCAGCGGAUAGAGCGUUCGCCUCCGGAGCGAAAGGUCGUGGGUUCGAUCCCCGCCAUGCCCGCUA